rnacentral:rRNA from 1 species
AACACAUGCAGUCGAGCGGCAGCACAGAAGAGCUUGCUCUUUGGGUGGCGAGUGGCGGACGGGUGAGUAAUGUCUGGGAAACUGCCCGAUGGAGGGGGAUAACUACUGGAAACGGUAGCUAAUACCGCAUAACGUCGCAAGACCGAAGUGGGGGACCUUCGGGCCUCACACCAUCGGAUGUGCCCAGAUGGGAUUAGCUAGUAGGUGGGGUAAUGGCUCACCUAGGCCACGAUCCCUAGCUGGUCUGAGAGGAUGACCAGCCACACUGGAACUGAGACACGGUCCAGACUCCUACGGGAGGCAGCAGUGGGGAAUAUUGCACAAUGGGCGCAAGCCUGAUGCAGCCAUGCCGCGUGUAUGAAGAAGGCCUUCGGGUUGUAAAGUACUUUCAGCGGGGAGGAAGGCGGUGAGGUUAAUAACCUUGCCGAUUGACCUUACCCGCACAAAAAGCACCGGCUAACUCCGUGUCAGCGCCCGCGGUAAUACGGAGGGUGCAAGCGUUAAUCGGAAUUACUGGGCGUAAAGCGCACGCAGGCGGUCUGUUAAGUCAGAUGUGAAAUCCCCGGGCUUAACCUGGGAACUGCAUUUGAAACUGGCACGCUUGAGUCUCGUAGAGGGGGGUAGAAUUCCAGGUGUACCGGUGAAAUGCGUAUAGAUCUGGAGGAAUACCGGCGGCGAAGGCG